rfam:Papio anubis isolate 1X1155 chromosome 4, whole genome shotgun sequence.
CCAAAGGCUCUUUUCAGAGCCACCAACAGUUUCAGUUGAAAGCGCG